CUCAGUUGUCGCUCGCUCUGCGCUCUGCCCGUCAGCACUCAGCUGUUGCUGCUGCUGCCUGGGAUUUUCCUGCUGCCUGGACCGGAGCGCCAACCCCAGCAGGAUGAGCACUGCUGUGCCAGUGGAGACUGCCAGAGACACUGUGGAGGAGAUUCAAGUGGACAUGGUGCUAGGUGAGGAAGAAGGGAUGGAGGUGGACACAGAAGAGCAAGUUGAGGAGAUGGAAGUCGACAUGGAGGACAAUAUCGAGGAGAUGGAAGUUGAUGAGGAGGACAAUAUCGAGGCGGUGGAAGUGGAUGAGAAGGAUGAGGAGGAGCCCAUGGUCCUUGGAUGAAGAUGGAGCCUCACAAGACUGAUGGAGAUGACGGCCGUAGAUAUUACGCCUGUGUAUAUACAUUUAAAAAGUUUGAAGAUUUCUGUAAAUAUGUUCACAUCCUCGUAGUUCACUGUAAAUAUGUUUUGAAGAUUGUUAGUCCAUAGGAUCCCAUGCAAAUAUGUUCUGUAGAUUGCUGUUGUUGUUCUAAGGAUUGUUGUAAUGAAAGGUGUUCUGUAAAUCCUAGAGUUUGCCAAUCUUUGGCAAAU